rnacentral:rRNA from 1 species
CGGAUAGAGCUAGCGAAGUCGCUCGCAUUCAGCCGAAGGCCCAUAGUUUCCGGUGGUUUGGUUGCUAAUCGUGCCAGGCUGCCGUGCGGCUGUGGGUUGAGGUGCAUUUGCGGGCGUAUGCGCUGAGACUGGUGGGGCCGCUGCUGGACCCGUGUUCUAGAGGCCGUCCUCUGGGCGGAACCUGGUCGCGGUGACGGCUGUUGGUCCUGCUUGUGUGUUUGUGCGGCCUACGGACCUUGCCCGCGCUGCUGUCUUCGGGCGGUGGUAUCGCAUGCGAUGCCUAGCUCGGGGGCUGUGGUUCGGUCCGGUGUUCCCGCGCAGCAUCUCGGUGUAGAAGCUGGUCAUCUCUCCGACCCGUCUUGAAACACGGACCAAGGAGUUUAGCGUAUGCGCGAGUCAUUGGGUGCGAAAACCCAUAGGCGGAAUGAAAGUGAAGGCUCGGUUGCCGGGCUGACAUGCGAGUGCUAGGCUUCGGCCGCGCACGCAGCAUGGUCCCGUUCCGGUCGCUUGCGACGGAGCGGCGAUAGAGCGUAUGCGCUGAG